GUCAAAAGGCUCAAUCUUACAGGUGCUUUCAGCAGAUAUGCAGCAAGUCAACAAUGUUUUAAUAAUUGUUCUUACUGUUAGUACAGAAAUUAGCAAUGGUUUGUUGCAUCUGAACUGACCUCAAAAUAUUUAUCCUGGGAUAGUGGAGUAGCCUUUGAACUGAGCAAUCUUGAAUAGAGAAGAUAUUCAACCUGGAUUUGAGUGAGGAGAACCAAGGACAGGAGGCUGGGGACAACUCAGCUCCAAAAGCUGCCUCAGAUCUCCUGUCUUGUCGAAGUGCUGGGCAAAAGGGACAGAAAUCAGCUGGAAGAGGGAGCAAAGUUUAUCUGUGCUUUGUUAGACUGUGGCAAAAGGGUCUCUGCAUAUUGCUUUCACCAAUCUCCCUGUGCAUUCAUCAAAAUGGUCCCACACCCCAGUGACUGUGGGAUCCAAGCCCAGCCAGCUCCUGGGCCCACACAGGAGGAGGAGAGCAUUUCAAAGGACUAACAGAAGUGAAAUACAAAAUUUCAUGAUCACUGGAAGCAAGGAAAAGUCCUCAAAUUGGCUCCUUGGAUGGAGUUUCCUGCUCUUCUCCAGCCCAGGAGAUCAGUGCCCUGUGCUGAGUGACAGUGAGGCUCACAGAGACAGCAAAAACAAAAAGCUUUCCUCUCCUUCCUCCACAAGGCUUUAA
rnacentral:lncRNA from 1 species